rnacentral:rRNA from 1 species
AACGAACGCUGGCGGCAUGCCUAACACAUGCAAGUCGAACGAGACCUUCGGGUCUAGUGGCGCACGGGUGCGUAACGCGUGGGAACCUGCCCUUAGGUUCGGAAUAACUCCCCGAAAGGGGUGCUAAUACCGGAUAAUGUCUUCGGACCAAAGAUUUAUCGCCUUUGGAUGGGCCCGCGUUGGAUUAGCUAGUUGGUAGGGUAAAAGCCUACCAAGGCGACGAUCCAUAGCUGGUCUGAGAGGAUGAUCAGCCACACUGGGACUGAGACACGGCCCAGACUCCUACGGGAGGGAGCAGUGGGGAAUAUUGGAAAAUGGGCGGAAGGCUGAUCCAGCAAUGCCGGGUGAGUGAUGAAGGCCUUAGGGUUGUAAAGCUCUUUUACCCGGGAAGAUAAUGACAGUACCGGGAGAAUAAGCCCCGGCUAACUCCGUG